rnacentral:snRNA from 1 species
GUGCACGCUUCAGCAGCACAUACAUUAACAUUGGGAUGGUAGAGAAGAUUAGCAUGGCCCCCGCGCAGGGAUGACACGCAAAUUCGUGAAGCGUUCCGUAUUUAA